rnacentral:misc_RNA from 1 species
GAUGAAGAACGUAGCGAAAUGCGAUAAGUAAUGUGAAUUGCAGAAUUCAGUGAAUCAUCGAAUCUUUGAACGCACAUUGCGCCCGCCAGUAUUCUGGCGGGCAUGCCUGUUCGAGCGUCAUUACAACCCUCAGGCCCCCGGGCCUGGCGUUGGGGAUCGGCGGAGCCCCCCGUGGGCACACGCCGUCCCCCAAAUACAGUGGCGGUCCCGCCGCAGCUUCCAUCGCGUAGUAGCUAACACCUCGCGACUGGAGAGCGGCGCGGCCACGCCGUAAAACACCCAACUCUUCUGAAGUUGACCUCGAAUCAGGUAGGAAUAUCCGCUGAACUUAAGCAUAUCAAUAAGCGGAGGA